GAAGAGAAGAAAAAGAAGGAAAAAGAAGAGGAAGAAAGUGAAGAAAAGGGCAAGGAGAAGAAGGAAACCCCUCCUCUCCUUCUCUAGCUUGGAAAAGGAGCAAGCUUAGAGGUAAGCCUUGCCCCUUCUCUUGGUAAAUCCCAUACUAGGGUUUGGAUUAGGCUAAGAAUGGUUUUUAUAGAACCUUUAGAGUCUUUGAAGCUUUUCUUUUGCUUCAAUUGAGAUCAAGACCAUGGCAAGAGUGUAAUGGGUAAAGCUUGAAGGUGAGCUUGACACCUCUCAUGGUGAAAUCCAAACUAGGGUUUGGAGUGAGCUAGGAAUAGUUUAGAUGGACUAUUUAGAGUAUAAUGAAGCUUCUUUUGCUUCCCAAUGAGAUCAAACCCUAGGUUUGUCAAAUGCUAUGAAGCUAGGGCACCCAAAUUGGGGCUUUUGCUUGUAAGGAUUUCAAAGUGAAAUUGACCCUCUAAAAACCUAAUUGGGGGUAUUUCCGACGCGUUGGUGCGCUCGGAUUAAUGUUACGAAAAGCCGAUGUAAAGAUUAGAGCAAAAUGGCCUAAUAGGGCUUCGUUUUGCCGCAGGUAGCGAACCGGGUGUCUAAAAAUCCCAAGAAAAUUAUCGGAGCACCUAAGUGAACCUACAAGGUGGGUGGCGCUCUCCAAACUCAUUGAACUUCCUCCUAUGCCUAAUGUGUCAUUUAAUUGAGCAUAUGUUAUAUACAUUGUUGCAUGCAUUUAGGGUAAAGUAACGAAAAGAAUGUGAUGUGGCAUGAUUGUGAGUACAUCUUGCUUAAUGAUGGUUGAGAACCUAUAUAAAUGUGAAACCCUAUAUGUAUGCAUGAGAGGAAAUGUGAACACCCAAGUGAGGCAAAAGAACAGAGUGACACACUAUGACAUAGAUCGAGUGGCAUUUGAUAAUGUAAAGUAAAAAACACUAGAGUUAGUGUGGGGCAAAGAAUCAAUGCGAUGUAAAGAUAAUGAUAAUGGCUAAAGUUAAUGCAAAGUGUGGCAUCAAGAGUAAAGAAUGAAAGAAUAAUGCAAAGUGGGGCAAAAGAACAUGUAAAGAGCAAAGAACAAUGAUUGCUAGAGUUAGCAACAUAAAGUGAUGUAAAGAACACUAGAGUUAGUGUAAUGACAUGAUUGAACUUAUAAUCCUUAGAGUUAAGGAUUCGAUCAUACUUGCUAUGAGUUCCGUGCUUGAGGGCGGUCGCGCCCCCUCGAGCGAUGCGCUCCGGAGUUUUUGCAUCACGGGUUGGAGUAAACCCGAGGACGGUCCUAGCGGGUGAGUUCCUGCGAUGAUGGACUUAAUGUGAAGCAAGCUUAAUGUGGCGAAACCCCCGGGUUAGCCUUAAGAUUAAAGAAUAAAGAACAAGGUUUAAAGAACAAAGAGUAAAGAACAAGAACUUGCAUAAUCUGCAUGAGUUUUACAUUGAGCAUAUUCCUUGCUUUAUUGUUCAGGCAUAUUAGCAUCAUGUUGUAGAUUGGUUACUAUAUUUCAGCUUAUCCUUUCUAUUAUGCCUGAGUUAGUCCUAGUGGGAAAGUCGGUGAUGUUGGGGCCGAACCCACUGGGAACUUUGUUGUAGUUCUCACCCCACUAUUUCCACAGAGCCGGGACCGAGCGAGCCGGCGAGCGACCGAGGUAAAGGUAUCGCGCCUUAGACAGAGGCCACCAGAGUUGAGUUUGGUUUAUAUUUUGUUAGUAAAGUACCCUAUGUUCAUCUUUUGUAUUUGAUGACUAGUGAUGUAAAGAAAAGAAUAUAAAGCUCAUUUUGUGGUAAUUGUGAUGUAAAAGAAAUGAUGCAAACGAUGUAAUGUAAUGAAAUGCAAAGAAUCAUGAAUGUAAAUGGAUGCAUGUAUGUGAUCAAAACGAAUCAUAGUACUUGUGUAGUUGCAUAGUUUUCCUAUCUCUUCACUCAUGGCUAUUGCUUACCCUCGUGUAAGCCGUUUGUGUAUGUUUCCGCUAGUGCACUUCUUGUUUGAAAUUGUACAUGUGAUGAGCCUUGGGCGGAUAGGGGAAACUCUGUCCGUUCGGCGUCUGUUUGACGUGCUCGAACCGGCCCAAAUUGGUAUCGGUCUCGGGGCGUGACAAGAACCCUCCUUUAGGUUGGAUUGGAAGGGUUCUAGCUCUCCUUUGGAGCUUGAGAAGGGAUUUCCACACUAGAGGUGAGUUUUGCCCUUUCCUUGAGACGGUAAAAGAUUGAGCUUAGUGUUGUUCGUAAGGUUCGUUUAACUCUUUUAGUAUUACCUCUAGGGUGCUAGGAGAGUGGCGGUAACCUUCGUCGGCUCGAUCGAAGAGCGGCGUUGAAGCUCGGUGGCUUUGACUUCAUGAAACCGGGGCAAAAUGCCCCCUAUGGGUGUUAUACUCGUCGUGACGUUAAAAUUCAUGCAUAUUCAUGCUAGAUAGAAUUUCUAUGAAUUUUAGAAUUCUUAAAAUGGAUGCCUUAUGUAAGGAAGUGAGUUCUCAAAAUCCGAGAGUUGUACUUCGUUCAGGAUCGACUAUUUGUCGAGUGAGUAUCCUUCGGAAAAGCUAAGGAUAUCCAAAACACAAAAAAUGCAUUGGAAACGUGUCCGCGAGAGCACAUAGUGCAAAACCUGCACUGGGCUUAAGUUGCUCUCGAGGACCGGUCCUUGGCAGGGAGAGACCGGUCCCCGAGGCUAGUGGUUGCUAGGGAACUUUGAUGCAACCGGUCCCAGGCUAACGGGGACCGGUCCCCGUGUGCAACGCCAGGAAGAGAAGGCCAAAAUCGGCUAAGUCCUGAAAAUCGAGCUCUCGGGGACCGAUCUCUCAGGCGAGGACCGGUCUCCCGAGGACCGGUCUCCCGGGGAGUGACCGGUUCCCGAAUGCGAAGAGGCCUUCUGGCCGCCAGGACCGCUCUCGGGGACCGGUCUCCCCGACGAGGGACCGGUCCCUCUGGGCGCAGAAUGCCCAGUGAAGGCUGUGUACUGGGUGAAAAAUUGAGGGGCUAAAAUAGAUUUUGUUACAAUAGAGGGGUAUGUAGGCCCUCUCUCUCUCCCUCAGCCUCUCAUUCUCUCUCUCUCACACUCUCUCUUGCUCCCUCUCUCUCUCUAGAAAAGAAAGAACAAAAGAGAAGGAGAAGAAGGAAGAGAAGAAGAAGAAGGAGGAGAAGAAGAAGAAGGAGGAGAAGAAAAAGAAGAAGGAGGAGAUCAAGCUCUAUCUUGCUCCCUCUCUCUCUUUGGGCUUUGAGCUUUUGAAAUGGGUCAAUUGGACCUCUAGCAUGCUUCUAAUUAGAUCAAUGCUAGAAUCUAGGGUUUUGAUUGGGUGGUUUGCUAUAGGUGCAAACCUAGGGCACACAAAUAGGGUUUUUGGUAAAGUAUGAGAUUGAUCUCAUUUGAUGCCUUGUUAACCUAAAUGCUAGGUGUCUAAAUGUCUAAAGAACAUAUGAUUUCAUCUCGAAGCAACCAGACUCUUUUCUAUGUCUUAGAAUAACAUAUGAUUUCAUCUCUUGCAUGCUGCAUUGUAGGAUUGCAUGUUUAACCUUCUCCUUAUGCUUUCUAAAUGGUAACCUAGUGUGCAUGGAAUGCUAGGUGAAUAGGAUAGGUGAGGAUUGGGUCGGGACAGUUGAUUCUAUAGUGCUAAAGAGAAGAGGUGAACUUGACGGUUAUCUAGUGACUUAAAAAGUGGCAUCUAAAUGUCUAAAGAACAAUCGAGUGGCAUUAAUGUAGUGUACUUGACACUAGAGGUUAUGAACUUAGGGAUAGAUGGAAUCCCUUACAAAAUGCCUUGUGAACAAUGAAUUUAGUAAAGCUAAGUGCAAUUGCUUGAUGGUCGGAAUCAAUGACUUCCGAGUGUUGUCGGCCCUAGCUCGUAGGGUAUCCUCACAUGGAGAGGACGUAGAUGAGUUUUGAUUAAGAUGUUGACCCUAGUUCGUAGGGUAUCCUCACUUGGAGAGGAUAGAUCUAGCUCACAGUCUGUCAUUUGGGGUGGUAUAGCCAUCCAUAUCCUCACAUGGAGAGGAUUGGUCGUCGAGUACUCCGGAGUGUCGGGUGAUAGGAACCACAUGGAGGUCCACAGACGGUCCCGGGUUUGGGGGCACAUGGAGCUUCCCUACCCAAAUAGGAUGGAAAAGUGAGUUGAGGGCGAACCCAAGGGUUUCGCCACAGAUUGGGUAAAUGUAAAGUUAAUAUUGUCAUUGAACAUUAUUUAUCGAACAUGGAUCGAUCUCGUUAGCAUGGUAGUAUACCUUUACUAUACGAUGCAUGCAUUCAUUAUAUAUGAUUAUGGGCAUAGUGGCAUAGUUUUUCUUUAUGCCUUUACAGCUUUCAGAUACCUAUCUAUCUGUCUACUUGUUGUUACUUGUGCCCACUUGGACCUAGUAGGGAGAUCGGCGGAGUCGGCGGCCGAGCCCACUGGGAACUAUGGAAGAUAGUUCUCACCCCACUCUAUUUCCAGUGGUAGGUACAGGGUUGCCGAGAGAGGACCGCGGCAAGGGCAUCGCGCCCGAGCAGUGAGACCGUGGUAGUAUAGUAGCUUUCCUUUUUGCAUUAGCACACCUAUGUAUUGAGAGUUUCAUGUAGGUGAGGUUGGAGAGCUAUGUAUUUUGGAUGAUCAAAUGUAUUCAUUUUGGGAAAAGAUGUAAACGUAAAAGUAUGCAAACUAUUGUAAUAGUUAGUAAAGUACUCUCUUUAUUUCACUUGCAUAUCUUGUGGAUUACUUGCUCUUGUUGUUGUUGGCACUGUUUGUGUAAGGAAGUGAAUUCUCCAAAUCCGAGAGUUGUACUUCAUCCAGGAUCGACUAAUUGUCGAGAGAAUACCCUUUGGGGAAAUUAAAUAUGUCCAGAGCACAAAAAGUGCCUUGGAGUUGAGUCCACGAGAGCAAAUAGCGCAAACAGCAUUAUUGGGCUGAUGUUACUCUCGGGGACCGGUCUCUGGAGGUAAGAGACCGGUUCAAUCGGCUGGGCGUAGCGGCGUUGCUUGGUGCAACCGGUCCCUGGCAGGGAUGGACCGGUUCCCGAACGUGGUCCCAGCGAGAAAUGCCGAAAUUUGGCUAAGUCCUGAAAAGUGAGCUCUCGGGGACCGGUCUCUCAAGCGAGCACUGGUCUCCAGAGGACCGGUCUCCCGGGGAGAGACCGGUUCCCGAAUGCGUGCACCCGAGGGAGGCUCUCGGGGACCGAUCCCAAGUCGGGGAGACCGGUCCCUCCGCGCGAAAACCGCCCAGUGAGGGCUGUGCAAGGGGUUAAAAGUUGAGGGGUCUAAAUGCAAAAUGGCCUUUAUUAGAGAGAGCUGAGCCCUCUCUCCCUCACACUCUCUCAUUUCACUCUCUCUCACUCCCAUUUCUCUCUUGCUCUCUCUCUCUCUAGAAAAGAAAGGAGAAGAAGAACAAGAAGGAGGGGAAGGAAAAGAAGGAGAAGGAAAGGAAGGAGAAGAAGAAGGAGAUCAAGAGGAAGGCCUUGGACACCUUCAUCUCCCUCUCCUCUUCUCUUUAGAGUAGCACAUGAGGUAGGCUCUUGAACCCUAGCUCCUAGAACUUAGGGUUUUGGGUUUUUAUGCUUUGGAAUGGGUCAAAUGGGCCCUGAGCAUGCUUCUAAGUAGAUCAAUCCCAAGAAUCUAGGGAUUUAUUGGUGGUUUGCUAUAGGUGUAAACCUAGGGCUCCAAAAUGGAGUUUUUGUAAAAAUGUGAGAUUGAUCUCAUUUGAAGUCUUGGAAACCCUAUUGAUAGGUCACAAAACGUGGGGGCGAAGUCGGUUUUGGCAUUCGGCGAGCCGGCGUGAAUUUCUUGGCAAAAUAGGGCCGGGUUAACAUUGAUUUGGGCAAGGGAAGGCUAAAGCCUUUUCGUAAAGUACGUCGAGGAGCAUUUCUAAAGCCUCUACAUCGAUAAAAGGUGGGGGGUGCCAUCCCGAAGCUUUCGAACUCCUUUCUAUGUCUUAGAUUUACAUUUAAUCUCAUCUCUUCAUGUUGCAUUGUAGGAUUGCAUAGUAGCUCCAUUCCUUAUGCUUUCUAAAUGAUAAUCUAGUGUACUUGGAACGCUUGGUAACUUAGAUAGGUGAGGAUUGGGUCGGAACGUGGAUCCUAUGAUGUGAAAGAAAAGAGAUGAACCCGAUGGGGGUAUUGAUGACAUAGAGAGUAGUGUUUAGUGUAAAAGAACACACGUGUGGCAUCCAAAAGUUACAUGAUGACGAGUGGCAUUAAUGUAGUGUAUAUGACACUAGAGUUUGAGAACCUAGGGAUAGGUGGAUCCCUUAGAAAAUGCCUUGUGAACAAUGAAUUUAGAAAAGCUAAAUAGCAUUGCAUGAAUGUCGGGAACAAAGGAUCCCGCGAGAGAUGUUGACUCUAGUUGUAGAGUGCUUCCUCACUUGGAGAGGACUUGAUUGGGUUGUGACCCUAGUUGUAGAGUGUCCUCACUUGGAGAGAAUAGAUCUAGCUCACAGUCUGCGUUUAGGGUGGUAUAGCCAUCCGAUCCCCACAUGGAGGGGAUUGUCGUCGAGUACUCCGGAGUGUCGCGCGACUAGGACCACUUGGAGGUCCGGACCACAUGGAGGUCCGCAGACGGUCCCGGGCUUGGGUGCACUUGGAGCUCCCUCCCCACUUUGGGAUUGAAAGGUGAGUCAUGGGCGAGCCCUAGGGCCUCGCCACAGAUUGGGUAAAUGAAAAGGUUAAAGGUUUAUUAAUGUCAUUGAACAUUGCUAUUCGAACAUGGAUCGAAUUUGUUAGCAUGGUAGCAAACCUUUAUUAUAUGAUGCAUGCAUUCAUAUUCAUGAUUAUGGGCAUAGUAGCAUAGUUUUCCUACUACUGCAUUUACAGCUUUCAGAUACAUAUCUAUCUAUCUAUCUGUUGUUACUUGUGCCCACUUGGACCUAGUGGGGAGAUCGGCAGAGUCGGCGGCCGAGCCCACUGGGAACUAUGGAAGAUAGUUCUCACCCCACUCUAUUUCCAGUGGUAGGUACAGGGUUGUCGAGAGAGGACCGCGGCAAGGGCAUCGCGCCCAAUUAGUGAGACCGUGGUAGCAUAGUAGCUUUCCUUUUUUGCAUUAGUACACCUAUGUAUUUGAGAGAUGCAUUGUAGGUGAGGAUUUGGAGAGCUAUGUAUUUUGAGAAUGAUGUAAAUGAAAAUGAUGAAACUACUGUAAUAGUUAGUAAAGUACUCUCUUCAUUUCACAUGUUAUUCCUGUGGAUUGCUUGCUCUUUGUAUCGUUGGCACUGUUCGUGCCCUUGUGAAUGUGUAUGAUUAGAAUUUAAAUUCCUAGGUAAAUUCUUGUACACAUUCUUGUUGUGAGCCUUGGGCGGACAGGGGAGGUGCUGUCCGUUCGGCGGUCCGCUCGGCGCACCCGAAUCGUGCCAAAUUGGUAGUGGUUUCGGGCCGGGGCGUGACAGCUGUUUUGGUAUCAGAGCCUAAGAGCAAGUAAAGAGAGAAAGUCUAGGAUGACCUAGGAGACCCUAGGUUGGUAAGCCUUAAGGUUGUAGGUGCGUGAGCGGAACGUGAACCUAUAACGAUGGCGGAAGUUGAUUCGAUUGGGUCGAAGUUUGUAAUAUGUCUCUAGUUGUGGUUAGAGACGGAUUCAAGUGGUAUGCGUUCUUGUCUUGAGGUGGUUGUGUUGGCGGCCGACGACAUGAUACCAAGAGUCUAGAAUGAGUACACUUGUGUGCUUCCGCCCGAUUUUGUUGUUGAGUCGUCAUGUGUCGUGAUUUUCGACGAGGUGAAUAGUUAAGACGACUGACCAAGUAUUUGCGUUUCAGGAACUAAUGUCUCCAAGACGCUACACACGUAGAUCUACUCUGGCACCGACUCCUGAGGUGCCCGAGCCGGACGAACCGAGUGUGAUGGAUCGGUUGCAGGCGCAAGUGGCCGCAUUGACCAAUGUGGUGCAGCGCCAGGAGAACCGAUUCGAGUGGCUCCAGGAGCUCUUGGAGCGGCAGGCGGCGGCAGCGGCCGCAACGGCGACGGACGGACGCGAUGUGCCCGCGCCCUCGGCUCGUGUACCUGAGCCAGCUGAGGGUGAGGGUAUAGCGGCGGUUUCGGUGGCGGCGCGUCCCCCGCCGGCGAUCGUACCACCGGCAGCGUCGGGAUCGGCUACACCCGAUGUGACGGCCGAGGAUGUGGAAGGAGGGCGCGCAUUGGCGGCUCUUAUCAAGUUCAAUAAGUUCCAUCCGUCGACCUUUGAGGGCGAGAAGGUGGAACCGGCGAUGGUCGAGUCUUGGAUCGACUCGAUGGAAACCCUCUUCGAUGAUUUGCGUACCUUGGAGAGGGAUAAGGUGUACCUCGCCACCCAUUGCUUGGAGAAGGCGGCGAAGGUGUGGUGGAAGCGCGUCAAACGGGAUCGGCUUCCCGGCCUUCCGCCGAUGUUGUGGGAGGAAUUUAAGCGGGAGAUGUUUGCCAACUAUUUCCCCGAUACAUUGAAGCGGAAGCUCAAGGAGAAGUUCCGCAAGUUAGAGCAAGGGGACCGCUCAGUGGCGGAGUAUGAACAAGAGUUCUCCCAUAUCAUAGACUGUGUCCCGGACGUUGUAAAGGAUGACCGGGACCGGGCCGAGUGGUUCUUGCGAGGACUUCGGCCGGGAAUCUAUAAGGCCGUGUAAAUACUCAAACUCACGACCUUUGCGGAGGUCUUUGAUCGAGCCCUAUGGGCGGAGCACGGAGACGCCCACGUUCGGGAGAAGCGUGAACUUUUGGCCGAGUCCAAGGACAAGGGCAAGAAACACCAAGGCGGCGGUGAUUCGAGAGGUCAAACACGUUACAAGAAACCCCCGAAGUAUCCGCGCACUCAACAGAAGGGCGGUGGAGCGCGGCGGUGCAUUGUAUGCGGCGGAGACCACCCAGUCUCGCGCUGUGAGCAAGGCCGAGGCAAGUGCUACAAGUGCGGGCAACCGGGGCACUUCAUUCGGGACUGCCCGGGAGGAGGAGCCUCACCUGCCCCAUCGAUUGCAUCGGCGCCGGCGAUUCCGGCUCACUAUGGAGGAGCUCCACCGACGGCCGCGUCGACGGGACACGCGAUGAUGCCGCGUCAACCUGAAGUGACGCGAUCGGCCCCGAGCGGACGGGUAUUCGCCGCUCAGGUCCAAGCUGAGGAACCUGCGGAGGCGGAGGAGCAUCGCCUUGUGGCAGGUAUGGUUUUAAUUAACGGAGUUCGCUCCAGGGCUUUAUUUGAUACAGGAGCCACCCAUUCAUUCAUAAGUAGAUCAUUCGCACGCAUGCAUGACAUUCUCAUAGAGGCGAGUGACAAAUGGCGAGUCGAGGGCCCUGGGUCGACGUUUAACACUUACUCGGAGUGUGCGUCGUGUCCGGUACAAAUAGGCGACUGGAUUAUGCCUAUCCGAACACUGGAACUCACAAAGCUUGAGGCUUAUGACGUCAUUCUGGGUAUGGACCGGCUCUCGAAAUAUCACGCAACAAUUGACUGCAAGAGUAGGGUGAUCACAUUCCGUGAGCCAGGACAAAAGGAAUUCACCUAUCGGGCUUGUCAGAGCUCGUGCUUCAUCGCGACGGUGUCGGCGACAAGAGCAAGAAAGUUGGUGAGCAACGGUUGUGCGGCGUUCUUAGCGACCGUUGUAGAGGUGGAUCGAGUAACUCCCACAUUGGAGAAGAUAUCAGUGGUGCGGGAGUUCCCGGAUGUGUUUCCUACGAAGUUGCCGGGGAUACCACCGGAUCGGGAGAUCGAGUUCGUUAUAGACUUGGUUCCCGGUACCGCACCGAUCUCGAAGGCUCCGUACCGAAUGGCGCCGGCGGAACUGAAAGAGUUGAGGAGUCAAUUGCAAGACCUCCUCGACAAGCAAUUUAUCCGGCCAAGUGUAUCAUCGUGGGGAACCCCGGUGUUGUUCGUGAGGAAGAAAGACGGAUCGUUUCGACUCUGUGUGGAUUAUCGAGAGUUAAACAGAGUCACGAUCAAGAACAAGUACCCACUACCCCGAAUCGAUGACCUGUUCGAUCAGUUACAAGGGUCGUGCGUGUACUCGAAGAUAGAUUUGCAAUCCGGCUAUCACCAGUUGAAAAUCAAGCCGGAGGAUGUGCAAAAGACCGCGUUCCGCACGCGGUAUGGACACUAUGAAUUCACGGUUAUGCCAUUUGGACUCACGAAUGCUCCAGCGGCGUUCAUGGAUUUGAUGAACCGUGUCUUCAGAGAAUAUUUGGACCGAUUUGUCGUGGUAUUCAUAGACGACAUCUUGGUCUAUUCUCGCAGCGACGAGGAACAUGCCGAGCAGUUGAGGAUAGUGCUUCAAGUCCUUCGGGAGGAGAAGCUAUAUACUAAGCUGAAGAAGUGUGACUUCUGGCUUCGCGAAGUCGCCUUCUUAGGGCAUGUGAUUUCCGUGGGUGGAACUUUAGACCCGAGGAAAGUUGAAGCAAUCAAGGAUUGGCCGCGCCCGACAAAUGUCACGGAGGUUCGAAGCUUCGUGGGCUUAGCGGGUUAUUAUAGGCGGUUUGUGGAAGGCUUCUCCAAGAUUGUAAUUCCACUUACCCGCCUGACUCAGAAAGGCACCAAGUUUGUUUGGAGCGAGGAGUGCGACCGGAGUUUCAAGGAGUUGAAGCAAAGACUGACUUCGACUCCGGUGCUCGCUCUACCGGUGCAGGGCGAAGACUUCGUAGUCUACAGCGAUGCCUCCUAUCUUGGAUUGGGGUGUGUAUUGAUGCAAAACGGGAAAGUGAUCGCUUAUGCAUCCCGUCAGCUGAAGAGCUAUGAGAAGAACUACCCCAUUCAUGAUUUGGAGCUAGCGGCGGUGAUUUUCGCCUUGAAGCUGUGGAGGCACUACCUAUAUGGUGCCCAUUGUGAGAUUUAUACCAACCACAAGAGCUUGAAGUACCUGUUUACACAGAAGGAGCUCAACAUGCGUCAGCGGCGGCAGUUGGAGUUGUUAAAGGAUUAUGACGUUGAUAUCCUCUACCACCCCGGGAAGGCAAAUGUGUUCGCGGAUGCACAUAGUAAGAAGUCGGCAAAGAACCUCGCCUUUGAUGUUACCCAGCAAACACCCCUAUGGCUGGAUUUGGAGCGAUUAGACCUUGAAGUGGUCGCUCCCGAGGUCCCGACUCAGUUGAUGGCACUCGUUGUCCAACCGACCUUGUUGGAGAGGAUCAAGGAUCUGCAGCCCGCAGACCCAGAACUCCAAAAGGUGCGGCGAAACAUCGAGGAUGGUCACGACGGCGAUUUCAGUAUGAACACUGAUGGUACGCUUCGGUUUCGAAAUCGGUGGUGUGUGCCAAAAGAUGAAGAGCUUCGUGAAUUGAUUCUACAAGAAGCACACCGAUCUCCAUAUGCCGAUCACCCGGGCGGCACCAAGAUGUAUCAAGGACUAAAAAUGCACUAUUGGUGGCCGGGAAUGAAAGGUGAUAUUGGACGCUUUGUGGCGAAGUGCUUAACGUGCCAACAAGUAAAGGCCGAGCGUCGAUUUCCAGCGGGAAAGCUUCAAAGCCUACCAAUCCCCGUUUGGAAAUGGGAGGAUAUAUCAAUGGACUUCGUGGUCGGCUUGCCCCGUUCAACGGGCGGCCACGAUGCAAUUUGGGUAAUUGUGGACCGAUUGACGAAGUCGGCUCACUUCUUGCCGAUCCACACCACGUGGUCGGGUGACAAGUUAGCGCAGGUAUACCUUGACGAGAUAGUGAGACUGCAUGGGGUGCCGAAAUCGAUCGUGUCGGAUCGUGACCCCCGGUUCACUUCACACUUCUGGAAGAGCCUGCAGGGAGCCCUUGGCACACGGCUCGACUUUAGCACCGCAUUUCAUCCUCAGACCGAUGGGCAAACAGAGAGAACCAUUCAAACUCUGGAGGACAUGUUGCGAGCGUGUGUCAUCGACUAUAAGGGAAGUUGGUGUGACCACCUACCUAUGGCCGAGUUCGCCUACAACAACAGUUAUCAUGCUAGUGUGGAGAUGGCACCGUUCGAGGCUCUCUAUGGGCGGACGUGUCGGUCUCCUAUACACUGGAGCGAUGUGGGCGAGCGUGCGGAGUUCGGCCCCGAUGUGUUGCGAGAAGCAGAGGAGAAAGUCCGCCUUGCUCGCAAGAGAUUGCUCACUGCGCAGUCAAGACAGCAAAGCUAUGCGGACAGGUGCCGACGAGAUAUAGAGUUCACGGUGGGUGACAGCGUAUUCUUAAAAGUUUCACCGAUGCGGGGUAUGAAGCGGUUUGGAGUGCGGGGAAAGCUAAGUCCCCGAUACAUUGGACCCUAUGAAAUAUUGGAGCGAGUUGGCACGGUGGCUUAUCGACUCGCUUUGCCGCCGAAGCUCGCGGAUGUACACAAUGUGUUCCAUGUCUCCAAUCUCCGCAAGUAUAUUCACGAUCCCGAGCAUGCGAUGCUAUAUGAACCGCCGAAACUUCAAGGAGACUUGAGUUAUGAAGAGUUUCCGAUAGGGAUUAUCGCCUGAGAAGUGCGAAAGAUAAGGAAUCAAGAAAUUCCCUACGUGAAGGUUAGGUGGAGCAAUCAUGAUGAUCGCGAGGCCACCUGGGAACUCGAGGAUCUGAUGAGAAGACACCACCCUCAUCUGUUCGAGGAGUGAGGUAAAGAUUUAAAUUAAGUAAAGAAUCGAAUUAGUUUCGAGGACGAAACUCCUUUUAAGGAGGGGAGGAUGUAAGGAAGUGAAUUCUCGAAAUCCGAGAGUUGUACUUCAUCCAGGAUCGACUAAUUGUCGAGAGAAUACCCUUUGGGGAAAUUAAAAAUAUCCAGAGCACAAAAAGUGCCUUGGAGUUGANUUAGUUUCGAGGACGAAACUCCUUUUAAGGAGGGGAGGAUGUAAGGAAGUGAAUUCUCGAAAUCCGAGAGUUGUACUUCAUCCAGGAUCGACUAAUUGUCGAGAGAAUACCCUUUGGGGAAAUUAAAAAUAUCCAGAGCACAAAAAGUGCCUUGGAGUUGAGUCCACGAGAGCAAAUAGCGCAAACAGCAUUAUUAGGCUGAUGUUACUCUCGGGGACCGGUCUCUGGAGGUGAGAGACCGGUUCCAUCGGCUGGGCAUAGCGGGGUUGCUUGGUGCAACCGGUCCCUGGCAGGGAGGGACCGGUUCCCGAACGUGGUCCCAGCGAGAAAUGCCGAAAUUUGGCUAAGUCCUGAAAAUUGAGCUCUCGAGGACCGGUCUCUCAGGCGAGGACUGGUCUCCCGAGGACCGGUUUCCCGGGGAGAGACUGGUUCCCGAAUGCGUGCACCCGAGGGAGGCUCUCGGGGACCGGUCCCAAGUCGGGGAGACCGGUCCCUCCGCGCGAAAACCGCCCAGUAAGGGCUGUGCAAGGGGUUAAAAGUUGAGGGGUCUAAAUGCAAAAUGGCCUUUAUUAGAGAGAGCUGAGCCCUCUCUCCCUCACACUCUCUCAUUUCACUCUCUCUCACUCCCAUUUCUCUCUUGCUCUCUCUCUCUCUAGAAAAGAAAGGAGAAGUACAAGAAUAAGAAGGAGGGGAAGGAAAAGAAGGAGAAGGAAAGGAAGGAGAAGAAGAAGGAGAUCAAGAGGAAGGCCUUGGACACCUUUAUCUCCCUCUCCUCUUCUCUUUGGAGUAGCACAUGAGGUAGGCUCUUGAACCCUAGCUCCUAGAACUUAGGGUUUUGGGUUUUUAUGCUUUGGAAUGGGUCAAAUGGGCCCUAAGCAAGCUUCUAAAUAGAUCAAUCCCAAGAAUCUAGGGAUUUAUUGGUGGUUUGCUAUAGGUGCAAACCUAGGGCUCCAAAAUGGAGUUUUUGUAAAAAUGUGAGAUUGAUCUCAUUUGAAGCCUUGGAAACCCUAUUGAUAGGUCACAAAACGCGGGGGCGAAGUCGGUUUUGGCAUUUGGCGAGCCGGCGUGAAGUUCUCGGCAAAAUAGGGCCGGGUUAACAUUGAUUUGGGCAAGGGAAGGCUAAAGCCUUUUCGUAAAGUACGCCGAGGAGCAUUUCUAAAGCCUCUACAUCGAUAAAAGGUGGGGGGUGCCAUCCCGAAGCUUUCGAACUCCUUUCUAUGUCUUAGAUUUGCAUUUAAUCUCAUCUCUUCAUGUUGCAUUGUAGGAUUGCAUAGUAGCUCCAUUCCUUAUGCUUUCUAAAUGAUAACCUAGUGUACUUGGAACGCUUGGUAACUUAGAUAGGUGAGGAUUGGGUCGGAACGUGGAUCCUAUGAUGUGAAAGAAAAGAGAUGAACCCGAUGGGGGUAUUGAUGACAUAGAGAGUAGUGUUUAGUGUAAAAGAACACACGUGUGGCAUCCAAAAGUUACAUGAUGACAAGUGGCAUUAAUGUAGUGUAUAUGACACUAGAGGUUUGAGAACCUAGGGAUAGGUGGAUCCCUUAGAAAAUGCCUUGUGAACAAUGAAUUUAGAAAAAAGCUAAAUAGCAUUGCAUGAAUGUCGGGAACAAAGGAUCCCGCGAGAGAUGUUGACUCUAGUUGUAGAGUGCUUCCUCACUUGGAGAGGACUUGAUUGGGUUGUGACCCUAGUUGUAGAGUGUCCUCACUUGGAGAGAAUAGAUCUAGCUCACAGUCUGCGUUUAGGAUGGUAUAGCCAUCCAAUCCCCACAUGGAGGGGAUUGUCGUCGAGUACUCCGGAGUGUCGCGCGACUAGGACCACUUGGAGGUCCGGACCACAUGGAGGUCCGCAGACGGUCCCGGGCUUGGGUGCACUUGGAGCUCCCUCCCCACUUUGGGAUUGGAAGGUGAGUCAUUGGCGAGCCCUAGGGCCUCGUCACAGUUUUGGUAAAUGGAAAGUUAAAGGUUUAAAAAUGUCAUUGAACAUUACUAUUCGAACAUGGAUCGAAUUUGUUAGCAUGGUAGCAAACCUUUAUUAUAUGAUGCAUGCAUUCAUAUUCAUGAUUAUGGGCAUAGUAGCAUAGUUUUCCUACUAUCGCAUUUACAGCUUUCAGAUAUCUAUCUAUCUAUCUAUCUCUCUGUUGUUGCUUGUGCCCACUUGGACCUAGUGGGGAGAUCGGCAGAGUCGGCGGCCGAGCCCACUGGGAACUAUGGAAGAUAGUUCUCACCCCACUCUAUUUUCAGUGGUAGGUACAGGGUUGUCGAGAGAGGACCGCGGCAAGGGCAUCGCGCCCAAUCAGUGAGACCGUGGUAGCAUAGUAGCUUUCCUUUUUUGCAUUAGUACACCUAUGUAUUUGAGAGAUGCAUUGUAGGUGAGGAUUUGGAGAGCUAUGUAUUUUGAGAGCCAUCGCGAUACAUACUCGCCGUGCGAGAUUGGGCGCCGAAGUGGAUUGCGGUGGGCUAGGCUCAUCCCUAGAGUGGAGAUGUUGACUACUACGGGGCCAUUAGGCACGGCACCGGCCAGACAGCCUACGGGUGGGUCUUCAGGCCAGACAGCCUUCGGGCGGGUCUUACAAGAUUUAAACUUUAAGUAGUUAACAUGCCAAGUGGAUAUUGAUAGAAUAGUAAACAAUGACAUUGUACUAUUUAGCUUGUGGGGUAUUAUGUUAGUUACACUCAUGUAUUUACAUGUUACAGUAGCUUCAUUACUUAUGAAAAUUCAUGCUAAGUAGAGACAUCGUGUGGUAGCAAGUUUACAUGUUUAUUUACAUGUCGUUCAUAUCGUUUUUAUUUGUUUACUUACCUAUUUAGCUCUUUUGGGCCUAGUGGUGCUUUUCAUUGAAGUCAGUAAUUGCCCACUGGAAACUAUUAAUUAAUAGUUCUCACGCCCCCUGUUUUAUGGUUUUAUUUCAGAGCCUUCAGCACCGGCAGAGGCACGGGAUCGCGGCAAGGGUGUCGCCUUGCUAGAUAGUGGGGAGCUACUUGCUCUUAGGUGGUUUACUCUUUCUUUUGUUAUAAUAGAGAGAGAGAGAUUUUUGUACCAUGUAUAGAGACCACCUAUGUACUCGUUUAUCACUUGUUUUGGGUCAUCUUUUGUACCACUUUAUGGUUUUAUUAGUUGUUGUUGGAUCUUUUAUUCGCUUUCCUUGUUAUAGAUUCUAGUUGUACUAUGCUCUGAUACUCCUAGACGUUCUCCUUUUAUUGCUUUAUUUAUCGUUUUAUUGUAGAUGCCUUAUAUGUUUUAGACAUAUGGCGGGUCUGGGCACCCGCCGGGCGGGCUUCCGCUGGGUCCCGGGGCGUGACACUGGUAGAGCCAGUGCCGAUGCAGUCAAGGUGCCGGUGUCGAACCCCUCGGGCACUCGGUCCGGAAGUGGCCCUCCUGGCCACACAAAAAACAUGUAACACACUGGACCUUUGCAAAUUGCGAGGUUCGAGUGUUCGAGCUGUGUGCUGAGCAAUUCCAGAUUUUCUGGUGGGUCGAUGACAGUGUUCCGACCUAUGGCUCGCAUCCCGAGAAGUGAGGUUUAAAGCCGAGCACGAAAACCCGAAAAAUCGGAUUUUUGGGUAGCUCUCGGGUUGCCUUCGGAGGGCUGUGUACCGGUACGGGAGUGAUGGCUGUACCGGUACAGCCAUCGACUUUGGCCGAUUCUCAGCCAACCCGAGGCUCGGGCUGGGCGUUUUCGUAGGAGGUGUUCCGGUACGCGGGCCCGUGUACCGGUACGCAGUGCAGAUUCUGAGCAGUUUGAACUGCAGGGGGGUUUUCGCAAUUAUGGCGUCUCUAUUAGUACCCCCACGCCCUAGGGGUCUUCCCUGAGCUUGACACCAGCAAGGAGAAGGGUAAGGGAGCCCUCCACACUCUUCCAUUCCCUUUACUUGUUUUUGCUUGGAUUUUUAUGGGAUUAAGCUCUCUUUUGCUUGAUUAGAGACUUCCUCACCUCGAUUGAAGCUUGGAGCUUGGCUUUGGAGCCUUGUUGGGGGGAGACCCUUGGACUUGGAGAGUUUAGAGCUUAGAUUGAAGCUUCUAAGAGGUAAUCUACUUGCUCUCUCCCUCUAGAUAUGAAUUUUAUUGAUGGAUUCAAGAUCAAACCCUAGAAAUGGAAAUUUAGGGUUUAUUUGGGCAUUUUGCAUCUAGGGCUUUUGGAGCUAGAUUGAUUGGAUUAGAACCUUCCUUGGGCUUGGAUUGGAAGGAUUCUAGCCCUCCUUUGGAACUUGGGAGCGGAUUUCUACUCUUGGGGUGAGUUUUGGCCCUUUUUGCUUCUAGGUUAAUGUUUGAUCCUAUAGCAUGAUCGUAAUGCCCGUGUAUCUUAUCGCUCAAUACUUUUAGGGUAUUUUGAGACUCGGGGACAACUUGGUUCGGCAAAACGAGGCACUACGCGACGGUUCGGUGGGUUUGACCUAGCCACACAAUGAGAAAUUCUCAUUUGUGAUUAAUUAAGUAUCGUUAAUUGAAAAAGCAUGCAUAUUCUUGUUAUAUGUAUUUAAUAUGAAUUUUAGAAUGCUUAACAUGCAUACAUUAUGUAUAGUGAAAUUUUAGACCCCUAUGUGGUGGAGUGCAUGCAUGUGAGACUUAGCAAUCUAGUUAUGAUUGGGAACCAUGAUUCCGAUUAUGGAAAUGAACCUUGCUUUCAUGCAUUUAACCUAUAUGCCAAUUGUGACAUUAGAAAUUUUUAGAAGCCUAGAGAGGGCUUGAGGACUUGGACUAUUUGAGAAUUGGGUCAAUGUCAUAAAGAGGCAUUGGGCCCGGGUCAUGGUAAUCUUUGGUAUUAAUGUUUUAAUUGAGACAUAGAACCAGAAUUGGGCUUGAUCUGUUGAGUCGCUUAAGUGUCAUAAAGAGGCACUAAGCAAGUGAGGGUUGGGACAUCACUUAGAGACAUUGGGCUAGAUCCUUGGGAUGCUAGUGACCUUGCCAUGUUAGAGACAUGUGGAUAGAGUAUUUGAGACAGUGACCUUGCUUGUUUGCCAUUUGUGCUCAUUCGCACAUGCUUGUGUGGGUCGCUCCCUACAAGCCGGCACUCCGGAGUUAGCCUACGCGACUUAUGUUCGCUCGUGCGGUAUCGAGAAGCCUACGGGGUCGAGUGGGACAGACACAUUCCAAGAGUAGGGAUGUCGGGCUACCACAGACACUUAGGCGGCACAAGCUGGACUACCUUGGGUAGGUCCUUAAUUGGGAAUGGAAAACGACAUGGUGUCGAGUGGGUUUUAAUCACUACUAGAUAGGCUUAGUAGUUGGAUUAUUUGAUAUGCUCAUGACAUAGCAUCGGGACAUAUAGUAUACUUGCUUGUUUUAAUUAUUCUAUCGUAGUAUACUUGGUUGUUUUGAUAGAGCUUAUUUCCUAUGCAUUGACAUACUGCAUCGAGAUGCUUACUUGUCGGUUACGAUUGGGACUUAAUAGUCAUGCUUUGGACAUACUUACCAUGAUAGAGUAGAUGUACUAUACUUUGACAUCCUGUUUACUUGAGAUAUAGUGGUUUAGCACUUCAAUUAUGCUUUCGUAUUGCUAUUACUAUUACUCUUAUUAUUGCUUCUAGUACUUACCCUUUUCUUUUGGGGCCUAGUGGUGCAAUGGGCUACGGUCAGUAAUUGCCCACUGGGAACUAUAAAUUAUAGUUCUCACGCCCUCUUUUUCUCGAUGUUUUUCAGAGCCUUCCACGCAGGGUGAGGCCAGGGAUCGCGGGAAGGGAGUUGCUUCGAGCUAGCUUCCUUCGAGAACGAGUUGCUAGGUGGUCCACCUCUCGAUUUAUGUUUUAUUUUGCGAGAGGUUGAGAGUUUUACCAGUGUACUAGAGACCACCAUUUUUGUACUUUUGAGACAGAUUGUGUACUACUUAUGGUUUCUUUCCUUGUCUAGUUACACUUCUUUUACUCUGGUUUAGAUGAUAGAACUGUAUUCGCUCUGAUAUCACUAGUUGUUAUCAUUCUAUUUGUUCUAUUUCUUGCUUUUACUUCCGCUUGUAUUGUAGACGCCUUAUAUGUGUAGACAUAUGGCGGGUCUGGGCACACUACCGGGAGGGCCCCUGCCGGUCCCGAGGCGUGACAAAACACCUCCCUCCCCGCUGUGGGCACUGCGGUGGAAUAUGGGGGCCACCACAGAUCACACACUGGGGAGGUCGGUAUCGAUCAGAUCCUCCUCGCUGUGCUGCCGAGCCGCGCCCACGCUGCUUGCUCCUAGGGUGCUUCGGCGGCCUCCUAAAGUGCGUCUGACUCGCACCCUCAGCCGCGGGCCUAUUGCCCCUUACUCUUGUCCAUGCCUUCUCUCCGCUCUUGCACAUCUGCCGCGCUGCUCUCCACAAUGAGCGCGCGAUUCACCACCUCCCGGUAGGUUUGGAGGUUAGAGGAUUGCACAAACCGGAAGAUAGACGGUCGCAAUCCUCGCUCGAAGAUGCGGGCCUUGUCCUCGUCGUCCCGCACAAUGAAAGGCAAGCAGUGUAGAAGCCGAGAAAACUCCCUCUCAAACUCAGCUACGGUCCGGUCUCCCUGGCGCAAGUUGCACAAGUCCUGCUCCAUCUUCCUCUUGACACUGUCAGGGAAGUAGUGCGGCAAAAGAAGCUCCUUGAACUUCUUCCAAGAGAUAGCCGCCAAGUCCGUGCUGGGGUUCUCCUGAAUGUCCAACCACCAGUGGUAGGCCUCGCCGUCCAAGUGGUGUGUGCCGAGCCAAACUCGAUCCCUCUCCUCCACGAAGGUGUCACGGAAUAGCUUCUCAAUGUGCAUUAACCACUUCUCCACGAUCCAGUGGUCGACCUUCUCUCCGUCGAAAAUCCAGGGACUGCACCUCCUGAACUCAUUGAGGCGAUCCAUGAGCCGGUCCCGCUCUGCUCCCUCAACUAAUGCGGGAAAAAGUGCCCCCGCCCGAGGCACCUGAGCUGGUGGUGCCACGACAACCUCCUCCCGAGGUGCGACCGCAGGUGUCGUCCGAGAUGUGUCGUGGACGGGGGACGACCCCCUAGGUGCGACCACAUCCACAGGCGCGGGUGGUGUAGGAAUCUGAGCCUCCCAAACCACCGCAUGCUGCAGUAAAAGGUCCUCCAGGCGCUUCAUCCACGCCUCCUGUCGCGCGCUGCCUCUGUCUGCUGUCGCGCCGCCUCCACCUGCUGAGUCACCAAGUCGGUGAGGGCCGUAAGCUGGCUCCUCAACUCACGGACCUCGCCGGAUCCGGAGGUAGCGGAGGUCUCGACCUUCUCAAGGUGUGCCGCAUUAUCCGCUCCAGCAGAUUGAGAGCGUGUUAUCAGCAUUUCACUACAACAUCAUAAAAGCGCAAGUUAAUAAAACCCACGCUAUCGAAUCCCCGCUCAAGUAGAUAAUACCCAAAUCAUGCGAAAGUAAGGAAGUGUCCUUCACUACUAACUCCCGAUGUUACGUUGUCAGCCGCCAACGUAACCCUCCGCGAAGUUAGAAGCCAUACACUUCGAUUAAACUCCAACUUUUUAGAGUUAUAUUAAAACCCAAUCGUGAUACUUUCGCUUACAAGUCAAAUAGACCUCGUCUCUCACGAGCCUAUUUCCUAUAGUCCAACCGGCCUAAGGUUUGCUAGGUCCACUAAGACUCAACCCUAGGCUCUGAUACCAAAAUAAUCUGUCACGCCCCGGGACCCAGCGGAAGCCCACCCGGCAUGUGUCCAGACCCGCCAUAUGUUUAAAACAUAUAAGGCGUCUACAAUAAAACGGUAAAUAAAGCAAUGAUAAAAGAACAUUUAGGAGUAUCAGAGCAAAGUGCAACUAGAUUCUACAAUAGAGAAAUAAACAAAAGGCUAAAAUCCACUAAGAAAGGACCAUACAGUAGUACAACGAAACCCAAAUACAAGUGCUAAGAGUAAAACAAUGGUUCUCUCUAUACAUAGGAACAAAACUCUCCCUCACCAAAACACAAAAGAGAGUAAACCACUGUAACAUACCGGAUUUUAAUUUAAAAGUAAAAAUAAAUAAAGAUAGUGUGAGAUACUAUUUUUAUUGGAUUUAGAGAAAUAAAAUAUAAGUCGGAGACGACUUGUGCUGAAAUCGGAACGAAAACAGAAGAUAUCUGUACCUGAGCUGCUAAACUGAAAUUAAAUUGUGUAUUGUCGAGGGGACUAUUGUGUAACAAAAGGAGUUGUCUUCUUCCUCCCUCUCCCACAGCCGAACACACCACACACCACACACGCACACAUAGUGAGGAGAGAGAAACUCCCCUUUCUCUCUCUAGAUAUCUCCCUCAUCUCUCUAGAUCUCUCUCUAAAAAUUUGAGGGUUGGUGAAGAGAAAGCUUGGGAACUCGUUGGGAGCAUCGGAUCGGGCCUUCGUGCGCCCGGUUGAGCGGCGUGCCUCCGUCUCGACGUUCACGUUUUGGUAAGCUUUUGGGAUUUGGCUUAAUCCUUAUUGCUUAGUAUUCCAGUAGCCUCUAAUGUGUUGUUAGCAUGUUAAAUCUAUUUAAUUUGGGUUAUUUGGAGCAUGUGUAGAGGCAAGGUUUAAAAUGGUGAAUUUCUAGGGUUUAAAUUAUAUGCUAUAGAAUUGGAUUUAGAGGAACCCUUAGAUGCUAAAUGGAUGACUAUUGCAUGAAUUAAGAGGUUAUGUGAUGAUUUCUUACAAUAGUGCAUCUUAGGGCUCAAAAAUAGAGUUUUGCUUUGUGUUUGGGUUUGAUCUAAAUUAACCAUAUACAAACCUAAUUGCUAGGUAUACGAACGCGUUGGCGAAGUCGGUUCGGCGAUUCGUCGAGCCGGUGCGAAGAUAUUGAAGAAACAGACGUUUCGGCUUCGUUUCCGCCUAGAGGGCCGAGACGACGUCCAUAAAUCACAAGAAUGGAUCCGGAGCAUCGUGGCAUCAAGUUAUAGACCUUAAAUUUUCGGAUUGUGGAUUGGUGGCCGUUUGGUGGCCGUUUGGUGGUCGAGUGUGAGUUCGAGCAGAACCGGGCGGCGGGUGCCGCGGGAGGCCGAUUGCAAAUGACUACAAGCAAUCGGAACGCGAUAACAGGUGGAUUGUGCUUUACCGAAGUGAUUAGAUCACUUCCAUGUCAAAGUGAAGUGUGGUUCAUAAUUGAUGCAUAUAGUGGUAGUUAAUUGUGGACAUGAAUGCAUGUGAUUGAUACUAGUUGAAAACAUAAGAUAUAUACUACAUGUAUUGACUACCAUUGGAGAACUAAAGGAUAGAUGCAUGUUGACAUAUUGUUAGUAUAUGUUAGAGGUAAUAUGCAUGUUAACAUUAUGGAAAUAUGCUAGUUGGUAUAUAUAUAUAGACAUAUUGUGGAAUAUGAUAAAUGGAAUAUGCAUGUUGACAUUGUGGAGUAUGCUAGAUGAAAUUAUCCAUGUUGGCAAGUUGUAAAAUGUGCUAAAAGGUAUAUGCAUGUGCAAUUGUGACAUUGUGGCAUUUGACAUAACAAUGAGAACUUAGAAACAAAGUGACAUGUUGACAUAAAUGUAGAUAGUGGCAUUGAUGAGUCUUGAAUACUAGUGUUACAAUAGUGACAUCAAUGGGACAAGAAUGCUAGAUUACAAGUGUGGCAUUAAUGAGCACUUAGUGUGGCAUGAAAAUGAGUAUAAAGAACAAGUGAUGAACUUGAACAAGUAAAUGACAUAGAAGAGUGGCAUUUGGAACUAGUGUAGUAGGACACUUGGGACAUUAUUGUUGAGCUUGGUAUUUAUCCCGGUUUGAUUACCACUAGUUGGUAGGGUAUCCCCGGGCUAGAGGAUUGGAUCAUACUCACAUAGUCUAUUCUUAGCUUGGCGGGGGUCGCUCCCCUCAAGCAGUGCACUCCGGAGUUGUCAUACGAGGGGCUAACGUACUUGCCCAUGGACUAACGUACUUGUCCAGCAGACGGUCCCUCGGGUGGUUCGAGUCCUCCGAUUUAGAGGGAUUUGGUUAGUGAGGUUUGGAACCCGGCGGGAGGAAGCUAAGGGCCCGACGGGUUAGCCAUCAGAUUGAGUAAUAAAAUUGGCAAGUUGUUGGUUGAGACGAAACCUACGGGUUAGCCAAAAGGACCCAGAAUUGAAAAGUGGAUCUUGUAUUCAUCAUGAAUUUACUCAAGACCGAGUCGAGUGGCAUAGUUGGCUAAGGUAAGUGUAACCUUUGGAAAGAAUGAUAAAUGAGUAAAGUGUGGUUAAGAAUAAAGAGUAAAGAAUGGCAAGUGAUAAAGAAUUGCUAAUAAUAUAAAGAAUGGUAAAUGAUAGAGAGUAGAAUCAAUUAAUCUACUUGCAUGAGUUGCAUGAUUUGCAUAUUGCAUAUUGUGAGGUAUGAACAUGAUAAUUGUUAGUUGCAUAAAUUAUAUAUCUGUAGAUAUUUGUUGGACUAAUAUGUUGCAGUGCCUCAUUUGGACCUGGUGGGUUGAGCUUUUUCCUUGGGUGGCCGUACCCACUGGAAACUAUGGACAAUAGUUCUCACCCCCGUAUUGUUUUUGGGGGUAGAGGUUCGCACGUGAGCGGUGCGGCGGGCCGAGGCGAGGGCGUAGCUCCAUAGUUAGCGCCCUACCACCGAGACCAGAGAUAGCGGUACCCUGAGUCAGCUACUUAGGGAUUGUAAGAAAGAAAAGAACCAAGUUGUAAUAAUUAUGUUAAAGUUGGAUUGUAUGUGGAAGUUAAAAAGAGUUAAAAGAGUAUGAAAAGUGUAAUAUGUGAUGUAAAAUGUAAUAUGUGAGUUGAAUGCAUGUAAUAACUUAGUUGUUUAUGUUUUCGAUACUUUCCUUAUGAAAUCUAUGCUUGUAUGUUGUUCCUGGUUGGAAUCUCGCGCAUUGUAUGGAUUGUGAUGCCUUGGAUGUACAGGGGAGACUCUGUCCGCGGUACAGGAAAAAUCCUGUCCGUUCGAUGGUCUGUUGGCGUACCCGAAACCCACCAAAUAGGCGGGCUCGGGGCGUGACAACCACCUAGGAGCAAAAGCAAGCUCCGCUAUCUAGCUACGCGACCCCUUUGCCGCAAUCCUGUGCCUCCACCGAUGCUGAAGGCUCUGAAAGAAAACCAUAAAACAGGGAGCGUGAGAACUAUUAAAUAAUAGUUCCCAGUGGGCAAUUACUGACUUCAGUGAAAAGCGCCACCAGGCCCGAAAUCUAAGCAGGUAAGUGCGAAUAAAUAAGCAAUAUGAAUAACAAGUAUUUAAACAUGAAUACUUACUAUACCAUGAUGUCUCUACUUAGCAUGAAUUUGCAUAAGUAUGAUGCUAUUCUAACAUGUAUAUGCAUGAAUAUACAACCAACAUGAUAAUCCCAAUGUAAUCAAUAAGAUGUCAUUGUUUACUAUUCUAAUCAAUGUCCACUUGGCAUGUUAUAUCACUAGAAUCCCAAUCCUGUAGGACCUACCCGUAGGUAGUCCGGCCUGCACCGUGCCUAAUGGCCCGGUGGUAGUCAACAUCCCCACUCUAGGAAUGAGCCUCCCCCACGGCAUCCCAUUUCGGCGCCCAAUCCUGCACGGGCGAGCAUGUGUCGCGAUGGCUAUCUCCGGAGUGCCGGCUUGUGGGGAGUGACCCUCACAAGCAUGUGCGAAUGAACACAAUGGCAAGCAAGCGUAAAAGUCCGUCUCAAGUCCCAAGUCAUCAUGUCUAAAAUAUGGAAUGUAGCGAACGUCUCAAUGGCCUAUCACUAUGUCAUCAUGUCUAAAACAUGGAAUAUAGUCGAUGUCACAAUGGCCUAUCACUAUGUCUCUACGUUACAGUUUAACAGUUUACUAGUUCGGUGCCCCUUUAUGGCACUUUUGUUCACUUUGUCCAAACAUGAGUUAGGAGUUCAAGAGUACACAAUGCUAGUUCUUUUCAUCAUAUGAGACAUGUUUCCAAUCCACAAGAAAGAAUACUACUCACAUGCAUGUAUAAUCCACAUAAGGCUCUACUAUAUAGAGUUGAAUUUUCAUGAUACAUAACGCAUGCAUUUUAAGAAUUCUAAAUUCAUAUAAAUCCCAUCUAGCAUGAAUAUGCAUGCGAUACGAGGAAACGAAAACUUUUAACCACUUAGGAGAAGAUUUCUCCUAUUCCAAUGAAGCCAAACCCACCGUGACUCUCGCAACCCUUCGUUCAAGCCGACGAAGGUGAUCACUACUCUCCUAGUACCCUAAAGGUAAGAAAAAGAGAGGUACACGAACGUUACAAACAACCCAUUGCUCAAACAUUAAGCAACUCAAGAAAAAUGGUGAAAACUCACCGAAUGCGAAGAAACCUCGAUCUCCAAAAGGGAGUUAAAGGCCCUCUAAUCCAACCUAAAUAAAGAUUCUAAACCAAUCAAUUUGGUUCCAAAAGCCUCAAAUCCAAAAUCCCCAAAAUAAACCCUAAUUUCCAAUUCUAGGGUUUCAUUUAGUAGAAUCUACCAAAACAAUAAUCAAAGAGGGGAUUAAGCCUACCAACCUCAAAUGAAGCUCCCAACAAGGCUUCAAGUCCUCCAAGGUUGAAGAUCUUCCUCCAAAAGAGCUCUAACAAAAGCUUCAAGCUUCUUCCAUGGUGGAAUCCCAAUAAGAAGCAAGAAAAAGUAAAGAGGAGGAGAUCAAAACUAGCUAAAACCCAUCAAAAAUGGAGAAGAAAUCAAUGGGGAGAGUGCUCACCUUGUUCUCCACUGGUUAGGGCUCAAAAGAGCUCUCUAAGAUGGCUGGGGUGGUAUAUAUAGAGUUGCAACAAUUGCAAAAACAACCCCCAACAAAAACAGCCCUCACUGCCAAGUGUACCAGUAUACGGGAAAGUGUACCGGUACAAACCCAGUGUACACGCGAACCCGAGGCUCGGGUUGGCAGAAAAUCCCAUUUGUACCGGUACAAACAUCAAGGUGUAACCGGUACACUUUCUAUACCGGUACAACCAUCAAGAUGUACCGGUACACAGCCCAGCAAACUGCAACCCGAGAGCAGCCUAAGUCCAUCCCUUUGGUGACCUUAGCGCUACUUUAAAUGCUUCAAUUCUCGGAAUAUGAGCCAUAGGUCGGAACACUGUCAACGACCCUCCAGAAUAUCUGGAAAAACUCGGAACACUGAUCAAACACUCGAACCUCGCAAUUUGCAAAGGUCCAGUGUGUUACACUAUCUCAUGCAUCAGCUCAAAUAACUAUAAUAAAUAUAUAAUAUAAUUCAAUCAUACAAAGACUGACUCAACUUUUCGGUCAAGUCUGCGCUAGCUUGUCCCAACCACUAGCAUUGCCAAGGUUGAGGCCCGCUGCAAGAGGCUACUAUCUGUCUGUCUACAUGUUUGGUCUAUGCCAAUGCUACAUCUUUGAAGGGUGUAAUAUACCGAGAAUUCAGGAAAUAAAUAUCGAACUUUAGUCAAAUUGACCAAAGUGCGAGGACGGUACACUUCGGAAAGUCCGAAGGUGUUAAAAUGAUCAAAAGUGCGUUAUGAGAGGUUUUUGAGAGCUAGAGAAUCAAAAAUCUGCAAACUGCAGUUUUGAGCUCUUGGGGACCGGUCCGUGAAGGAGAGACCUGUGCACGAAUGCGUGAAAACUGAGAAAGCUGAAAAAUCGGCUAAGUCCCUGAGAUUAGGCUCUCGGGAACCGGUCCCUACUGGAGAGACCGGUCCCCAAGAGACCGGUCCCCCCAAAGAGAGACCGGUCGCAUUGCGCGGGAGCCCUGGCUGCCCUCAGGGAGGAGCUUCGUGAACCGGUCCCUGGUCGGGGAGACCGGUCCCCGCACACGAAAUCUGCCCAGUUUGGGCUGUUUAAUAAAAUGGAAGUUGAGGGGUUUAUUUGCAAUUAUGCAACCGAAUAGUUAUGUAGAGGGCAAUGAGGGCUUUUUCUCUCAUUUCUCACCCUCUCACACUCUCUCCUCUCUUUCUCUCUCUAGAAGACAAGAAGAGGAAGAGGAAGAAGAAGACAAAGUAAAGGAAGAAGAAGAAGAAGAAGGAGAAGGAGUAGAAGAAGACCAAGGAGUGGGGCAUCCCCAUCUUCUUCCUCUCUAGUGCUAGAAAGGAAAGCUUUGAGGUAAGCUUUGGUCCUUCUUAUAAUAAAACCCUAGAAAUGGUUUUGAUGGAACCCUUAGAGUAUUUGAAGCUUUUUCUUGCUUCUUUUUUAGAUCAAACCAUGGAAAUGGAGUGUAUAGUGAUGCUUAGAGGUGAGCUUCAACCUCCUCUCAUGGUGGAACCCUAAAUAGGGUUUUGAUUUGUCUAAGAAUGGUUUUAUGGACUUCCUAGUGUAGAGUGAAGCUUCUUUUACUUCCUAAUGAGAUCAAACCCUAGGUUUGAUAUAUGCUAUGGAGCUAGGGCACCCAAAUUGGGGCUUUUGCUCGUGAUGUUUCUAAAGUGCAAUUGACCCUCUAGAAACCUAAUUGGGGGUAUUUCCGACACGUUGGUGCGCUCGGAUUAACGUUACGAAAAGCCGAUGUAAAGUUAUGGCCAAAUAAGCCUAAUUUGGCUUCGUUAACUCGCAGGUAGCGAACCGGGUGUCUAAAAAAUCCUAAGAAAAUCAUCGGAGCACCUUUGAGAACCUACGAGGUGGGUGGUGCUAUCCAAACUCGUUGAACUUCCUUCUAUGCCUAAUGUGUCAUUCAAUUGAGCAUGUGUUGUAUACAUUGUUACAUGCAUUAUAGGGUAGAUGUGAUGAUAUACAUGUGAAUGUUGCAUGAUGUCAGUACACGUGCUAUUUGAUAUGUUUGAGAGCAAAUUAACCCUAUAUGUAUGCAUGAGAUGUAAUGUGAGCACCCAAUGAGUGGAAAGAACAAAGUGACACAAUGAGACAUAGAUCGAGUGGCAUUCGAUAAUGUAAAAUAAUGUGACACUAGAGUUAGUGUGUGGCAUUAAAGAGAAAUGUGAUGCAAUGAUAAUGAUUAGAGGCAAGUAAAGAAAAUGAAAGUGGCAUAAAGAACGAGUAAAGUUAGAGAGCAAUGAUUGCUAGAGUUAGCAAAAUAAAGUGAUGUAAAGGACACUAGAGUUAGUGUAAAGACAAUGAUUGAAUUAUAUAUAUAU
rnacentral:lncRNA from 1 species